UACAGAGGGUGCGAGCGUUAAUCGGAAUUACUGGGCGUAAAGCGCACGUAGGCGGCGCAGCAAGUCAGGGGUGAAAUCCCGGGGCUCAACCCCGGAACUGCCCUUGAAACUGCAGUGCUAGAAUCUUGGAGAGGCGAGUGGAAUUCCGAGUGUAGAGGUGAAAUUCGUAGAUAUUCGGAAGAACACCAGUGGCGAAGGCGACUCGCUGGACAAGUAUUGACGCUGAGGUGCGAAAGCGUGGGGAGCAAACAGG
rnacentral:rRNA from 1 species